GAUGAACGCUGGCGGCGUGCCUAAUACAUGCAAGUCGAGCGAACAGAUGAGGAGCUUGCUCCUCUGACGUUAGCGGCGGACGGGAGAGUAACACGUGGAUAACCUACCUAUAAGACUGGGAUAACUUCGGGAAACCGGAGCUAAUACCGGAUAAUAUAUUGAACCGCAUGGUUCAAUAGUGAAAGACGGUUUUGCUGUCACUUAUAGAUGGAUCCGCGCCGCAUUAGCUAGUUGGUAAGGUAACGGCUUACCAAGGCAACGAUGCGUAGCCGACCUGAGAGGGUGAUCGGCCACACUGGAACUGAGACACGGUCCAGACUCCUACGGGAGGCAGCAGUAGGGAAUCUUCCGCAAAGGGCGAAAGCCUGACGGAGCAACGCCGCGUGAGUGAUGAAGGUCUUCGGAUCGUAAAACUCUGUUAUUAGGGAAGAACAAAUGUGUAAGUAACUAUGCACGUCUUGACGGUACCUAAUCAGAAAGCCACGGCUAACUACGUG
rnacentral:rRNA from 1 species